rnacentral:rRNA from 1 species
AGUCGGGCGGUAACAGGAAUUAGCUUGCUAAUUUGCUGACGAGCGGCGGACGGGUGAGUAACGCGUAGGAAUCUGCCUGGUAGUGGGGGACAACAUGUGGAAACGCAUGCUAAUACCGCAUACGCCCUACGGGGGAAAGGAGGGGAUCUUCGGACCUUUCGCUAUCAGAUGAGCCUGCGUGAGAUUAGCUAGUUGGUGGGGUAAAGGCUCACCAAGGCGACGAUCUCUAGCUGGUCUGAGAGGAUGAUCAGCCACACUGGGACUGAGACACGGCCCAGACUCCUACGGGAGGCAGCAGUGGGGAAUAUUGGACAAUGGGCGCAAGCCUGAUCCAGCCAUGCCGCGUGUGUGAAGAAGGCCUUCGGGUUGUAAAGCACUUUCAGAGGUGAGGAAGGGUGUGCCGUUAAUACCGGUAUGCUUUGACGUUAGCCUCAGAAGAAGCACCGGCUAACUCUGUGCCAGCAGCCGCGGUAAUACGGAUGGUGCGAGCGUUAAUCGGAAUUACUGGGCGUAAAGCGCGCGUAGGUGGUUUGUUAAGUCGGAUGUGAAAGCCCAGGGCUCAACCUUGGAAUUGCACCCGAUACUGGCAAGCUAGAGUACGGUAGAGGGGUGUGGAAUUUCCUGUGUAGUGGUGAAAUGC